UAGAUACCAUUUGAUUUGUUCUCUCCCUCCUUUUCCUGAUCUGACACCGCCAUCCUCUCAACACACGUGCACUGGACAAUAUGGUCUACUAGAGGCAGGUACUUGGUGGCAAUUUUAUUUUUCUCUGGAUUAUAUUAUCUGGAAAGACAAGACCGGCCAUGGUCAAGAGGGUGAUGAUUUUUAUGGCCCUGAUAACAAUGAUACAGAUGCCAAAAGCCUUGCACAGCCUCGGAUUUUAUGAACAUUUCUAUAGGUGCCAUAAAUCUCUGCACAAUCCAGAAAGAACAUUAAAUCGUCUAUCUCGAAUGUUGAACAUUAAUAAGAGCUCAGGGAGAAAUUGAUUGGAGGGGGACUCUGCUAUAAGCAUUGGCUGCCAGAGAGGUUGGCUCUGGUAUUUUUAUUAAGGUGAUUCUAAGUUCUAUGAUUUCAGUUCUAAAUAUUAGUAAUAAAUUGACUGCAUAUGUAUUCAAACCCUUAACAGCAAACCUGAAUGAUAGAAGUUCUGUCCUGCUGUUAAUAUUUUUAUUUCCAAUUUCAAUGUCACUUUUUUUUCCACGAAUAUCUUUCUGGACAGAGUUCAUAUUCUGCAUUCAUACAAAGGGAUCUAUUUUCUCUGUGUAUCCCUGCACUGUGUUCCUAAAAGUCAACGGAGAAAGCUUUUGCCUUGAGGAUUGAAGCCCUGACCCCACUGCACUCUGAUGGCUUGCAUGCAAACACCCCCAGUGAGGAGGCUGGGGCCAUGGCCUGGGGGAGAGGCAUGUACUGGGCCUGUGGCCUUCUCAACACCCCCAAGAGAACCUGGUCUCUUGUCAGUGACUUCUACGGAUGCCACAGCUUGAGGAAGCCCUUUAGCUUUGCUUCCCAUUGCUCUGCGAUACAUGGAUAUAUUUUUGUUCCUGCACCUCAGACCAAGUCUACCCUGAAAAGAAUACUUUGAGAUGAAGAAUCUGGGAUGAGUCCGUGGGCAAGUGAGGGAACGAGAGAUGGGAAGCCAGAGUGGCCGACAGAAAGCAUCUCAAAAUUCAGGAAACCAUGGAGAGGAUCAUCCUUCCUUCUGGCCCCAUGACAAUGCACUCCAUGGAUCCCAGAUUGAUUAUUGACUGAGUUACAAGCAGAGUCUUCUAACUUUCCAGGAAAUACAAAGUAGUCACCAUCAACUCUGAUUCUCUAAGAUUUGUCCCGCCUUUUGGGUAAUUGAUUUAUUCUGAGAGGAAGUGAAAUCUCUGUCAGAUAGAACAGUAGAAUGACUCCUCUGAGAACAAAGUAAUUGCUGACUUCAAAGAGCUCCAAGGAAGUUCAGUGGAUGGAAAGAAUUUGGCCAGCAACUGGUCGGCGCCAUGAGCACCAGUGAAGAAAGCUGAAUGCUGGCACCUCUCCCCGGGCAGGCCCCCAGAGCUGCGUGAUGUGGUGUGCAGGUGACACAGACCCAGCCCCCCAGGGUCUACAGCCAGUGGUGGGGGCGAUGGAGCCUUGCCCAGUCCUGCCAGCGCAUCUUUUCCCUUCUCAGCACGGUAAUUGGAACAAGGGCUGAGCAGAGGCACAGCAUGCUAUUGGCAAAAGAUCUUUUUCCGGCUCUACCCUUGAAGACAGAGAAAAGGAAAAGCCAUCUUAUAAGGUUCCACUGCGUCUUCCUCAAGGUUGCCUUCAUCUGGCAUGGUGGCAUGGGCAGAGUGCACACCCCGUCAGAAGCAUCCGGGAUAGGCACAGUCAUUCCAUCAGUCAUCAAGAUAACUGAGAAGCUUGUGCCUGUGGG